GGAAACCUUGAUGCAGCCAUGCCGCGUGUGUGAAGAAGGCCUUCGGGUUGUAAAGCACUUUCAGUAGGGAGGAAAUGUGAUGUGUUAAUAGCACAUUAAUGUGACGUCACUUCCAGAAGAAGGACCGCCUAACUCCGUGCCAGCAGCCGCGGUAAUACGGAGGGUCCGAGCGUUAAUCUGAAUUACUGGGCGUAAAGAGUGCGCAGGCGGUUUGUUAAGCCAGAUGUGAAAUCACCGGGCUCAUCAUCGUAAUUGCAUUUGGAACUGGCGAACUAGAGUAUUGUAGAGGGGGGUAGAAUUCCAGGUGUAGCGGUGAAAUGCGUAGAUAUCUGGAGGAAUACCGGUGGCGAAGGCGGCCCCCUUGACAAAGACAGACGCUCAUGCAGCAAAGCGGGGGGAGCAAACAGGAUUAGAUACCACCGUAGUCC
rnacentral:rRNA from 1 species